CCCUCCUCGGGUGUGUGUGCCCUUCAUAACACCUCGUCCUUGAGUGCAGGUGGGCCUGCGUUAAUUAGGCGAGCCCUUGUGAGAGAGGUCUAAAGAUAGAAGACAUGAAAGAGAUUCAGAGCUGCAGAAGAUGCUCUCCUGUUGUUCUGCAAGGGGCAGACUGCCAUAUGUGAGAGGCUCUAUGGAGAGGCCACACAGGAAGCAAGGACCUGCAUGCAGCCUCCAGGAGCUGAGAGCGGUCCCUGGCCAAAAGCUGGCAAGGAAUUGGAGACCUCAGUCCUACUGCCAUAAGGACAUGCAUCCUGCCAACAACCAGGGAUCUUGGAAUGAGAACAUAAGCCUCAGAUGAGAUGGCAGUCCCAGGUGACACCUUGAUUUCAGCCUGAGAGUUGAAAUUAAUUCUGACACAGGAAGCAAAAGUGGAAGUGAGAAACUAAUAAAGAGAUGACUGCAGUAUUCCAUGUGAGAGAUGAAGUUGAUGUGGACCAGGGCAAAUGGUGGAAGUGCUGGGAGGUGUAAGAUACCAAAUAUACUUUGAAGGAAUGCUACGUUGCCUCUCGUAAGAAAAUCUGAAGACACCAAAAGCUGCUGGAGCAAAAUGAAUAAGGAAAUAAUGACAGAGGGCCCACUAUGUCUGAGCAAAGCCCUUCACACAGUGUACAGCACCGAGUAGG
rnacentral:lncRNA from 1 species